UACAGAGGUGGCAAGCGUUGUUCGGAAUUACUGGGCGUAAAGGGCGCGUAGGCGGCCCGGCGCGUCCGCGGUGAAAGCUCCCGGCUCAACUGGGAGAGGUCCGCGGAAACGGUCGGGCUGGAGCAAGGUAGGGGGUCGUGGAAUUCCCGGUGUAGUGGUGGAAUGCGUAGAGAUCGGGAGGAACACCAGUGGCGAAGGCGGCGACCUGGACCUGUGCUGACGCUGAGGCGCGAAAGCGUGGGGAGCGAUCCGG
rnacentral:rRNA from 1 species